AAGUGCAGGUACAAUUUGUUUUAGUUUUUAACUUACUCGAAAAUUGUACCAAAAGGAUUUUUUAUGAAACAUAAAUCAUGUUUAACUUGUGUGAUAUUUUGCAACUUUCUUGAAAAGGUGUGAGUGAGUUUUGCUUUUCGAAUAAUGACUAUUAGGUCUUGUGUUCAUAUUAUACAUAUAUAUAUAUGUCUGGCAAACAACACAAAGAUGUCGGAUUUAAUACUGAGAACUUCUCCCGAUUAAAUCAUUCUAAAUGCAAUUGUUAGCCUAUGACAGUUCUAAAAAACUUUAUCCGUGCUAAAUAUAAUGAUGUACUUAUUCUUUUACUUAUCUGUCUCUGAAGAAAAAUGUUUCAGGUGAACUAAAGCUUUGGAUAGUCAUUAUGAUCUUACAAGUAGACUAAGAUAGUUAGGAAAGGUGUAUUCCAACAUAACAUAAUGGGUGGUCUGAAAAAAGUUACUAAUCACUAUUUUUUUUUUGUCUGCAGGAAAAUCAGUUUGUUAUGGUGAUAACCCACAGACAAGCAGUAUCAAUCAAAUCCACAUAUAGUUGUACCCUGAUGUAGUGCUCUCAGGAUGACCGGGUACUUCAGGCUGUCACAGGUGGCUGCUGCACUUUGAUUAAAGUACAAGAGGUUGUCGACAGAUGUUCCGCACGUGAUCCACGAGAGGUGAAGAGAGCGACGAUACGGCGAUGACUCGAGACUGCGAGCGUAACGAAAAAAGUGGACAAGUAGCUGGUUGGUAGGAUACGCAGCGUCUGCAACUUGCGUGCUAGGAAUUUCACAAAUACUGAGAAGUGACACUGACAUGAUAAACAAUGGUAUGUAGAAAGUAAAAAUCACGUCGAUGAAAAGCUUAACAUUGAUAAGAAAAUUAUUUUAUUCAUUCAUUAAUUUAUAAAUGUCUGUCUACCAACACACUAUUUACAGACAAUAAUUGUCGGAUUGUCAUCUUAAUAAUUAUUAUUAUAUCAUCAUUACACACCUGCCAUACGACUGUUUACAGACGAUGACUAUUGAUGUAUGACACCUGUCACACAACUGUCCAGCGACAAAGGCCCUUUCCUGUCAUUCUGUCCAUCCUUAACGUGUUCCAUCAGUAAGCCAAAGAGCUUUUCAAAGAAAGUUUUAACGAUUUUUAUGAAGUUUAUGAGGUUUACCGAGGUUUCCAGCUGCUACAGAUCCGCAAACACCUCCUACACAGUGUGGGUGGCUUCAUACAUCACACAGCAUUUAGUGUACUGACCACAGCAAUGCCAUCGUAGACACCACCAGCCACAGCAAAGCAAACAUCUACUUUCCUUCUUUAUCAAAAUGCUUAUCUUUUGUAAAUUUACUUAUCCGCGCUUGUAAACUUUCUGGGAGAAAAACAACAAAACGCUGCAGCACUCUGGCAGCCAACCUUAUCAUCCAGUUUCUGAAGUAUCUGUUGUGCGACAAUAAUGAAAAAGUGAAAAAGCAAUAUUCGAUUCCUUAGUCCCUGUAAAGGUCUGAUUGUGGGUCCUGUCGCGCAGUGGGUACUUUCUGAAUACAUGCAAUCGUUACUCAGAAGUGAAUCUGAGUAACGGCAGACGUUGAUAAUAAAGUGUGUAUGUGUAUGUGUGUGUGUCAGCAGGAGGAAGGUGUAUAAAGAGAACGGCCACUAUCACACGAAGCCAUAGAUUUUCUUUUUAAAUAGUGUUUAUAAUGUAAAUAUGUGGUUUUAAUACUGUUAAUCAAGUGAAAGAAGAAACCCUUAAGACCCUUCUCAAUCGGCCCUCUCAUCUCCACCUCUAUUACCAUUCACAAGUUGUAAAGGAAAAAAAAGUUUUAUUUUCAUAUUUUGUAUUGCAAGGGCAAACCAGGGGAGAUAAUUUCUGUUGAACUAGUUUUACUAAAGCAUAGUUAUUUCCCUUGAUAAAGCAUAAUAACACUAACGACCUGGCCUCACAGUCGUUUCAGACCUUUUCCAAGCCAAAGGAUCGUGUCCAACGCCAUGUCAAAGCUGCGGGACAAAAGCUGUAAUUUGUUAUGUAACAACUGCGAGCACUUUGCCACGUGGUGUCGCUAUGGGUACGAAACAGUCGGCAGGCGUCUUACUGUUGUAAACUGUUCAUUGCAAUCGCUGCUUUCCUCUUUAUACUUGUGGGUAAGAUAUAUCGAAACGUUUCUCUUGAAACCAAUACAAGUGGUUCGUGAUCUUUCAUCCCCAAUGUGGAUUAAAGUAUUAAAGACGAACCAGGAACCAUCAAUUUUGCAAUGUUUGUAACGGAAUGUGAAUUGGAUUUUUUACACAUUACAAUCGGAGAAGACAAAGAAAACAAGUGACUUUGAAAUUUUGAUUUAUACUGCCUGAGUGUUGUAGCACUUGCUGUUCUAUUCUAUUACAGUGGAUUUAACUGUAGUUAGGCGCUGCAUACGACAUUUCUUAUCGUCGAUCGUUGUAUUGUAGGCUUCUAAAAUCUAGUAUUGGAAUUGAAGCUAAUUUAAUUAAUAAACAAAGCUUUUCCGAUAAAAGUUCAAUGUUGUAUAACUUUGCGACAGGUUAGCUAUUACACAAAGAAAUGUAUGGGUAGGAACGACAAGCAAAUGUACGUGUUAUACGUCACCAAGGGACACUGCUGUCACCGGCGAUUAUGCAGCAAGUGUGUUUGUGUGUUUGUGUGUGUGUGUGUGCACGUAAGAGUGUGAGAGAGUGUGUUGUGAUUGUAUGAAAAUACUGCACCGGAGCAUUUUGUUGACAUGAAAUUGCCUAUUUCUCUCAAGAAACCCACAAAAUGUAAAACUAGAUAAUUUACAAUUUAUGAUUAUAAUGAGACUGGUAUCAGUUGACCAGCUCAUAAAAGAAGAAGGUUCAGCGAAAGUUGAGAGCUGACGAUGUUGGAGGUAUAAAUACAGUCACAUCGCCUGUCUUCUCAACCCCUGCUCUCAUCAGUAACCGCUGUUUGACGACUGCAGGA